UACGUAGGGUGCAAGCGUUAAUCGGAAUUACUGGGCGUAAAGCGUGCGCAGGCGGUUCGUUGUGUCGGCGGUGAAAGCCCCGGGCUUAACCUGGGAAUGGCAUUGGAAACUGGCUCGCUGGAGUGUGGCAGAGGGGGGUGGAAUUCCGCGUGUAGCAGUGAAAUGCGUAGAGAUGCGGAGGAACACCGAUGGCGAAGGCAGCCCCCCUGGGCUAACACUGACGCUCAGGCACGAAAGCGUGGGGAGCAAACAGG
rnacentral:rRNA from 1 species